CCUACGGUGGGCAGCAGUGAGGAAUCUUGGUCAAUGGACGAGAGUCUGAACCAGCCAAGUAGCGUGAAGGAUGACUGCCCUAUGGGUUGUAAACUUCUUUUAUAUGGGAAUAAAAUGAUCCACGUGUGGGAUUUUGUAUGUACCCUAUGUAUACGGAUCGGCUAACUACGUGCCAGCCGCCCCGGUAAUACGGAGGAUCCGAGCGUUAUCCGGAUUUAUUGGGUUUAAAGGGAGCGAAGGUGGAUUGUUAAGUCAGUUGUGAAAGUUUGCGGCUCAACCGUACAAUUGCAGUUGAAACUGGCAGUCUUGAGUACAGUAGAGGUGAGCGGAAUUCGUGGUGUAGCGGUGAAAUGCGUAGAUAUCACGAAGAACUCCGAUUGCGAAGGCAGCUCACUGGACUGCAACUGACACUGAGGCUCGAAAGUGUGGGUAUCAAACAGGAUUAGAUACCCGAGUAGUC
rnacentral:rRNA from 1 species